UACGGAGGGGGCAAGCGUUGUUCGGAAUUACUGGGCGUAAAGGGCGCGUAGGCGGCCUGCUAAGUCGAACGUGAAAUCCCCGGGCUCAACCCGGGAACUGCGUCCGAUACUGGCAGGCUUGAAUCCGGGAGAGGGAUGUGGAAUUCCCAGUGUAGCGGUGAAAUGCGUAGAUAUCAGGAGGAACACCGAUGGCGAAGGCAGGUCUCUGGGCCACUACUGACGCUGAGAAGCGAAAGCAUGGGGAGCGAACAGG
rnacentral:rRNA from 1 species